rnacentral:lncRNA from 1 species
CUACUGUUCAGUUAUCGCUUGUUUAUCCUCCGGUUCUUAUCUGCCCUCACAGAUAUCACGUUUUUAAAAUUAGGACUAUGCAGUUUUUUUUUUUUUUUUUUUUAUUUAAAAUCAGUUUUGAAACAAAACCCCUGUAGUCUCUCAGGUAAAAGUACAAAAUCUGAAAUAUAACUAGCUGACAUAUGAUACAAGAAAACGUUGUCUAGGUUUAUGCUUAUCACUGUCUACAUGGUCCCGUAAUAAACUCGACAUUUCAAAGUACGAAGUUUGUUGCUAAAGCACAAGCUCACUUCGCACUUCCGCGGCUGUGCCCUCGAUAACACACGCCUUGGUGGGAAAGAAACGGGUGGUGUCGGGUCUACGGCUGUAGAUAUGACGGGUCAGCCUCACCGCGCGCGGUUUUCUCCGGUGGAAUGUACAGUCGAGCCGCAUGUGAGGGUACUUCAUGGCACAGCUGAUGCCCGGAGGGAUUAAAGAGAGGCAGCAAAACUAGAUGAGCAAGAUACAGUUAGCCUAUAAUGUCAACACAUGAUCUGAAGUUGCAGCAGUCAAGUUGUCAAAGCGGAGUGAAAGCCAGCGUGACUUGCUAUUUCCCAGAUCAGGAGAUAUUGUACACACAAACUGACAAAUCACGUUUUCAGAAUGUAAGUGAACAUGAGAAGUUACAUCCUGGACCACUGGCUCAACACAUCCACAACAAGAAAGAUUUAGAAACUAGAACUAUUGCAUCUUCACCAUCAUCGCAGUUAACAGGCCAGCUGAAAAGCAGCAGAGAUUUACAGAUCAGGCAAGUAAUACUUCUCAGAUCUAAGGAAGACUCCAGUAGGACAUCUGAAGAACAGAGGAAAUCUGCCAGAUUCACUUCCACCAUCUCUAUCAGUCUUCCUAAUAGAAGAAACAAAAAAGACACGGCGGUGGAAAAAACACUGCAUGCUACAACUAACCUGUGAGUUUUAUUUAUUUAUUAAUUUAUUGGUUUUUAUCUGUUUUUUUAUUUUCACACUGCUGUUGGGGGUCAUCAUGCUUUAAAAAGUGUUUAGUGUUCACUUUUUGUUUUUAAACAAAAUUGUAUAGGAUUUUAAUAUGCCAUUUAUCAGUUAUAACAUGAAAAUAAUGAUCAGCUUAUGGCAUUGACCAGAAUUCUAAUAUUAUUGCAUAUCUAGUUUAAAAUCCAAUUUUAUAGUUAAACAGUGAAUCAACUGCUAUAAUACAAAAGUUCAGUGAAAGAUAAACUUCGUAGCAUUCAAUCCAAAACUGUUAGUCUUCCUAUUAGUAAAUGUUUUUUUGAAAUUUUGAGUCCACUUAAUACACACUGCAUAUAAUAUAUUUUGUCUUGUAAAUUAUGCCAUAGCACUUUGUGUUUUGUGUCAUUUGCACAGUCCUAGCCAGAACAGCAAAUGCCCUUUUGACCCAUGACUGGCAGUAAUAGUCCUUAUAUAGCAAUAAGUCAUGAUUUAAUGACGGUGAAUGAUAGUGUGAAAGUGUAUUGGCAAAGAUAUGCUGUUUGGCUGUACUGUAUCUAGGUGUGUUCAUGCUUUCAAACACUGCUUACACCUUUAUGAAGUGUUUACACCUUGAUCUUGGAAACAGUUAAAAGACAUUUAUUGUGCAGUAUUACAGUAUCUUGUUUAAAAGGUAUGACAUCACUGACUCUCGUUUUUAAAAGCAGACAUUAAAGGAUUUGUUCACUUCCAGAAUAAAAAAUUCCUGUUAAUUUACUCACCCCAUGUCAUCCAAGAUGUUCAUGUCUUUCUCUCUUCAGUUGCAAAGAAAUUAAGGUUUUUGAAGAAAACAUUCCAUGAUUUUUCUCCGUAAAAUGGACUUAAAUGGUGGCCAACGGGCUGAAGGUCCAAAUUGGAGUUUCAAUGUAGCUUCAAGGGGCUCUAUUAGAUCCCUGCAAAGGAAUAUGGGUCUUAUCUAGCGAAACGAUUGGUUAUUUAAAAAAAAAAAAUGUAUAUACUCCUCCAACUUCAAAAUCAUUUGACAUCAUUGUUUUACCUUUUUUGUAAAGGGCAUUUGACUUUCUUUGCAUGUUCACUUUGUAAACACUGACUCGGUACUUCCACCUACGUCACACAUGACCUUUCCAGUGUGACAAGUCGACCUAGUGCAAGACGAGCAUUUGUGGUUAAAAAGUAUACACACAUAUAUAUAUUUUUUAAGAAAGUGACAGGCCGUUUUGCUAGAUAAGACCCUAAUUCCUCGGCUGGGAUCAUGUAGAGACAUUUGAAGCUGCAUUGAAACUGCAAUUUGGACUAUCAGCCCAUUGGCCACCAUUAAAGUCCAUUUAUAUGGAGAAAAAUCCUGGAACGUUUUACUAAAAAACAUUAAAUUCUUUGUGACUGAAGAAACAAAGACAUGAACAUCUUGGAUGACAUGGGGGUGAAUAAAUGAUCAGGAAACUUUUAUUCUGGAAGUGAACAAAUCUUUUAAACAGGGUUUUUUGUGUGUGUGUGUGUGUGUGUGUGUGUGUAGUGUACUGUAUAUGCUAUUCUAGUACUUAGUUAUCGACUUAAUUUAAGUUGGGAAACAAAGACAUGAACAUCUUGGAUGACAUGGGGGUGAAUAAAUGAUCAGGAAACUUUUAUUCUGGAAGUGAACAAAUCUUUUAAACAGGGUUUUGUGUGUGUGUGUGUGUGUGUGUGUAAGUGGUACUGUAUAUGCAUCUGACUGUAUGCAUUAAUGUGUGUGAGACACUCUGUACUAAUUUUAAAACAGUUUAACCAUGGACUCCUCCCUUCAUGUCAGGCCAAUGAAUUGUUUACUCCUAGAAUGCUUAAACAGAAAGAAAGGAUGGAAUGUCGUUGAUCUUGUUUUCCUGCGUUGUCUUGCGGAAUAUAUGAAAGAUGUUGAACUAGAAAAAGUAUUUAGGGAGUAAGAAUAGCGUGUGAAACAUUGAAUUAGAUGAGAGGUUUUUUUUGUUUAUCUACCUGAGGGAACUUUGCUUUGCUCAUUCAAAAAAAAAAUCAUAUGCUAAUUAAAAUUGGUUUUCUCAGUUUGUCAGUUACAGCACACAUGAAGCCGUAAAAAACACAGCUAAUCAAAACCACACAGAGGUAAGCUUUCAAUCUAAGACAGUCAUGAGAAUGAGAUUCAUCUUUUUAGUAAGAGAACAUCUGAUGUAAAGAUAAAAUCUAUGUCUUACUAAUCAAAUAUAAUGAAAUGUCUUUAUUGUACUGCCCUUUGAAUACAUUCUGCUCUACUGGGCCAUGUGUGCAGUUUUGAUAUGCAGAGUA